AAGAAAUCCAUGGGUGCACUGCUUUCAGCUGUUUAUAAGAGGUCUUAUCAUUAGAGCAACAGCAGGCAUCCAGGAACCAAGCUUGCCGGCAGGGCUGGACAUACAGGAUUAAAAUAAUCAUCCAUCAGGCUCUGUCUCAUAAAUGUUUUUCUUUGACUUUUGGCAGGAUCUCCAGCCUGAGCAUAUGCCAGUUGACAUGGGAACACAGAGGCCGGCAAUUUAAGGAUUUUCACACUUGCUUGCAGUGGUUUCUGACCAGACAAACUAAACUUCUGCAAGCUUUUCCCAGUGGAGACGUGUCCUACCUUGAGCUGGCCCUCCGCAGAGGAAUAACUCCCUUCAACAGCUGAAGCUACUUCUGCCCAUCUCAAGUGACCCCAAAGGACGCUUUUGAACUUCACUGCCUCUAAAAUCUACUUAAAACCAACGUCUUUCUCCACUUAAAUAGCAUAUGCAUGUGAUAUGCAAAUCAUGAAACUCACUAAAUUUUAAAAACGGUCACCCA
rnacentral:lncRNA from 1 species